ACAAAACUAAAUGGGUAUAGAUUUCGAUUCGGAAAAAUCAGCAGAACGAAUUAAUGGGCAGGAUUUGCAGCGAACAUUUGUGUCUCAAAAUUGCUGGUUUGGGGCGAGAAUGGAGAUCCAAAUACAAAAGAAAAAGGACGCGAAAUUUCAGAGAACAAAGUUGAGGGGAAUUUGCGUUGAGAUCUCGCAGUGGAGCUUUAUGGUCCUCUCUCCGUGGGAUGAGAGGGAGACCUCUGCUCAGCGCGUAAGAUGCCCUUCUACCUUUUGUUCUUUCCUUUAUUUUGG
rnacentral:misc_RNA from 1 species